rnacentral:rRNA from 1 species
GAGUUUGAUCAUGGCUCAGGAUGAACGCUGGCGGCGUGCCUAACACAUGCAAGUCGAACGGAGUUUACGUUAUGAAGUCUUCGGAUGGAAUGAUGUAAACUUAGUGGCGGACGGGUGAGUAACGCGUGGGCAACCUGCCCCAUACAGGGGGAUAACAGCCGGAAACGGCUGCUAAGACCGCAUAAGCGCACACCGGCGCAUGUCGGAGUGUGAAAAUGUAUACCGGAAGGUAUGCAGGUAUGGGAUGGGCCCGCGUCUGAUUAGCUAGUUGGUGAGGUAACGGCCCACCAAGGCGACGAUCAGUAGCCGGCUUGAGAGAGUGACCGGCCACAUUGGGACUGAGACACGGCCCAAACUCCUACGGGAGGCAGCAGUGGGGAAUAUUGCACAAUGGGGGAAACCCUGAUGCAGCGACGCCGCGUGAAGGAAGAAGGUCUUCGGAUUGUAAACUUCUUUGAUUGGGGAAGAAGUAAGUGACGGUACCCAAGGAACAAGCCACGGCUAACUACGUGCCAGCAGCCGCGGUAAAACGUAGGUGGCGAGCGUUGUCCGGAAUUACUGGGUGUAAAGGGCGCGUAGGCGGGGGAGCAAGUCAGGUGUGAAAUACCACGGCUCAACCGUGGGGGUGCAUCUGAAACUGUUCUUCUUGAGUGCUGGAGAGGAAAGCGGAAUUCCUAGUGUAGCGGUGAAAUGCGUAGAGAUUGGGAGGAACACCAGUGGCGAAGGCGGCUUUCUGGACGACAACUGACGCUGAGGCGCGAAAGCGUGGGGAGCAAACAGGAUUAGAUACCCUGGUAGUCCACGCUGUAAACGAUGGUUACUAGGUGUAGGAGGU